CCACUAAUAACCCUUUCAUCAUUGUACCGGAUGAGUUCCACAUAAGCUUUGAAUGUUACUUCUACACAGGCAACGGGGAAGCAAGGGCCAGGCUCGUCAUGCAGGCUGUCCCCUCUGCACUGGGUAGUUUCUGCACGUUUGGAGUCUUGUAUUCAUCCCAGCCACUAUUAUGUCACCACUGUGUUUUCCUACUUAUAGUCCCCUCUUAUUCUGAGCCCACUCCAGUGCUAUAGCAUAAAGCAUAUCAAAUCUAAAGAACAAACCUCAUCCUAAGUGAACUUAAUUUCAAGACUCUUGUCCGUGUUUCAGAAGAUGCUCCAAACAGAACAGCGGAGAGAGCAGGGCACAGUUUGUACUUUAGAAGACAAGGACAUACAUCAUGUUUCUUAUUUUUAAAAAAAAAAAUCCUCCAUGGUUUUAAAUUUAUGAUAACGAGAACUUCUGCACCCAGGUUAACAAAGAACCAUGCUGUAUACUUCUACAGCCGUGUGUGAUUUAUUUAAUUCUCUUUUGUACUUUAGAUGAGUCCCAGAAAUUCUAAUAAAAAACACUGUCUUGUAUUUAGAAACAAAAGGAUCACUCUACUUGUUAACUAUCCAUUUGUUUCCAUAGGUUUUAGUACUUUUAGGUCAUUUUUUUAAUUUUAUUCAUAAACAUUUGUAUUUUCCGUUUUCAUUUGAUUUGUAUAUUUACAUAUUUUUACAAUAAACCAUUUAUUUUCUCCUUUG
rnacentral:lncRNA from 1 species